AAGGGACAGGAAUACGUAGACAACCUACCCUCGGGACCUGAAUAGCUGCGGGAAACUGCAGGUAAUGCGGGAUAACGUCUCCGGACCAAAGGUGUGAGUCCGCCGGAGGAUGGGUCUGCGUCCUAUUAGCUAGUUGGUGAGGUAAUGGCUCACCAAGGCAAUGAUGGGUAGCAGGUGUGAGAGCACGACCUGCGUCACUGGGACUGAGACACUGCCCAGACACCUACGGGUGGCUGCAGUCGAGGAUUUUCGUCAAUGGGCGCAAGCCUGAACGAGCGACGCCGCGUGCGGGAUGAAGGCCUUCGGGUUGUAAACCGCUGUCAGUGGGGAGGAAAUGUAUGUGGGUACUCCCACAUAUUUGACUAAUCCGCAGAGGAAGUGUGGGCUAAGCUCGUGCCAGCAGCCGCGGUAAGACGAGCCACACAAACGUUAUUCGGAAUCACUGGGCUUAAAGGGUGCGUAGGCUGUGCAGAAAGUUGGGUGUGAAAUCCGACAGCUCAACUGUCGAAGUGCACUCAAUACUACUGUGCUAGAGGAAGACAGAGGUAAGCGGAACUGAGGGUGGAGCGGUGAAAUGCGUUGA
rnacentral:rRNA from 1 species